UCACGACGGUUCAACAACGGUCGGCCCAGUCUUUCUCCAUUCCCGCAAAAGUUUUGAGAAAUUUUAGGCUACGGUUGAAAAUACAGUCGUCCCUCUAAAUUCUAAAAGAAGGCGCUUAGACAUUUGGACAAAGUGGGAAAAGUAGCUUCAGUCUCUCAGUUGUGAAUCUCUAAGCCCUGAAUCGCACUCUCAACUGUAAAUCUCUAAACCCUAAGUUCUCAAACCGCCAUCCCUCUGCAACAGUGAAUAUCUCUCUCAGCCGCGCAUCUCUCUCAUCUUCGAGCUUUCCUCUCUCAGCCGCCACCACAAAUCUUUCUUAACAGUGAAGAGAAGGUAGCUCUGGUUGUGUUCUCCAGCCUGUGUCCAGCUCUAAGAUGAAUCAAUUCUUCUCCAAGCUGCUCCUUCAAAGAAGCAGAGAAACGGGAAUCAUGGAAGAAUAAAGGUCAUGGGGAAUUUAGGCAAGUCACUGAAGGGGAUUUCUUGGGUGAAGUCACUGGAAGUGAAAAAAUUAUCUGUCAUUUCUACCACUAGGAGCUCUAUCGAUGCAAGAUAAUGGAUAAGCACUUAAAGUCCCUUUCAACAAAACAUAUUGAUACAAAGUUCAUCAGGCUUGAUGCAGAGGCUGCUCGAAAGGUUACAGAAGUUCAUAAUCUAUUUUUCAGAGGUAUUGAUCAAAAUCAGGCUGUUCAGAAGGUCGUUGAGAGAAGAAUUCAGAUAUAGUCGCAUAUUCAACAGGUUCUUGAACCCAUAUUCUUUUUUUAAUAAUGAAUAAUAUGUUUCAUUUCAGAUCUGGUGUAGGAAGCUUUAGAUUCUGCUUUUUUAUGGUGCAUGUAAGUACCUUGGUUCAUUUAAAAUGGAUCUACUUCUAUGUGCUCCAGAUCAAGCCAGAACUAUUGCAGUUUGCUAUGCGGACUGGUAUGUUUGGAGUUAACUGUUAGCUGAGUUCAUGAAUAAGGAAUUAUGGCCAAUGUGAUUGAUGGAAUCAAUUUCGGUAUUGGAAAUAUUAAUAAGCUUGAAUUUGACUAUACAGUAGAGUGAAAACAAAAAAAUUAUGAAAAUUAAGUGGUCCAAUGUGUCUUAGAAGCAUACUGCUAGAGAGUGAUCAAUUUUAGAAAGGUCUAGUGGCUGUUAUUUUGGUGUCGUAGCUGCCAUAUUUUGGCCGAGUUGGAGAGGCAUGUCUCAGCUCUGAAAUAAUAGGUUAUGACAAAUUGGCUUUCGAGGGAAUUGGUGGUGUAUGGCCAAGAUCUUCAGGUGCAUCUUCCGAUGGCAUGUCAGUCACCAUUAAUGUUAUAUUUUUCUUCCAAACUGGUGGUCCUCACUCAUGCAUAAUAGGUACAGGAUAGUGUUACCAUUUUAUAAACCACAUGAGCAAACAAUGAUGCCUAAUUAUAAUAGGAAACAAUGGUGCCUUAUUCAUAUGGGAAAAAAGUGGUUUGUUUAAAAUCUCAGCAUUCACAAAGAACACCUAAGGAACCUAUAUUUAUAUGUUAUUAGUCACAUAAAUUUAUUCUUAUAUCUUUCUAUUGACUUGGUGUGGCUCGUAGAGUAUGAAUAAAUGAUGUUGAAAAGAAUACAAUCACUACAAGAAAAUUUCCAAUUUGCAACAUAUAUUCUGCGUUGAAAGUGAAGUUUGGCAUUUUUUUCCGGUUGCACUUUCGAUGGCUUGAUGCGCAAUUGGCGGGACUAGUUUUUCACAUCAAUGAUAUUGUAUAUGGACUGGAUUUUAAAAAAAACCAUUGUUGAGUUUCAUUUAUAUCAUGGAGACUAAGCUCAUUUUCAUUGUUAAAUAUAGGAACAUUCGGCGAAGAGUCACGACAAGAUCGAGAUGACCCUAAGUAAGUGGUUAUGCUAAGUCUGAAGCUUAUAUUUCGUGAAUGAAACCGAGAAAGAAACCGACUUAAAGAGUUUGUGGACUGAGUUGAAGAACCAUGUGCCGAGAUGCUCGCAGUUCUGGAUUCAGUGUGACUCUGCUAAUCAAUAUCAAUAUUAGAACAUUCUUUCUAUGAAUCUGCCUUAGAUUUUAUUGUUGUUUUAGGUUAAUUCUGAAUUUUGAUGUAUUUCUUAGUUAACUUAUGUAUGAUCUUGAGAAAUAUCUCUGUAUUGUUUUUGAAUUCUGGAAAUCACAUUUUUUUCAAUAUAUUUUGAAUGCACUAGUUAGCAUUCAAUCAUUGGGUAUUUGUUAUAAAAUUAAUAU